rnacentral:rRNA from 1 species
CCCUUAGAUGUCCUGGGCCGCACGCGCGCUACACUGACAUGUUCAACAAGCCUCCUAGUUGGACAGGAUUUGGGAAAUCUUUGAACGCAUGUCGUGAUAGGGAUAGAUCAUUGCAAUUAUUGAUCUUGAACGAGGAAUUCCUAGUAAACGCGAGUCAUCAGCUCGCAUUGAUUACGUCCCUGCCCUUUGUACACACCGCCCGUCGCACCUACCGAUUGAAUGUUUCGGUGAAGAUUCCGGAUAGGACUUUUUUGAUUUAUUUCAAUUCUGUCUUAAAAGCUAUCUAAACCUCAACAUUUAGAGGAAGGUGAAGUCGUAACA